GACGAACGCUGGCGGCGUGCUUAACACAUGCAAGUCGAACGAAAAGGCCCUGCUUUUGUGGGGUGCUCGAGUGGCGAACGGGUGAGUAACACGUGAGUAACCUGCCCUUGACUUUGGGAUAACUUCAGGAAACUGGGGCUAAUACCGGAUAGGAGCUCCUGCUGCAUGGUGGGGGUUGGAAAGUUUCGGCGGUUGGGGAUGGACUCGCGGCUUAUCAGCUUGUUGGUGGGGUAGUGGCUUACCAAGGCUUUGACGGGUAGCCGGCCUGAGAGGGUGACCGGCCACAUUGGGACUGAGAUACGGCCCAGACUCCUACGGGAGGCAGCAGUGGGGAAUAUUGCACAAUGGGCGGAAGCCUGAUGCAGCAACGCCGCGUGCGGGAUGACGGCCUUCGGGUUGUAAACCGCUUUCGCCUGUGACGAAGCGUGAGUGACGGUAAUGGGUAAAGAAGCACCGGCUAACUACGUG
rnacentral:rRNA from 1 species